UGGGGAAUAUUGCACAAUGGGCGCAAGCCUGAUGCAGCCAUGCCGCGUGUAUGAAGAAGGCCUUCGGGUUGUAAAGUACUUUCAGUCGGGAGGAAGGUGUCAAGGUUAAUAACCUUGGCAAUUGACGUUACCGACAGAAGAAGCACCGGCUAACUCCGUGCCAGCAGCCGCGGUAAUACGGAGGGUGCAAGCGUUAAUAGGAAUUACUGGGCGUAAAGCGCACGCAGGCGGUUGAUUGAGUCAGAUGUGAAAUCCCCGGGCUUAACCCGGGAAUUGCAUCUGAUACUGGUCAGCUAGAGUCUUGUAGAGGGGGGUAGAAUUCCAUGUGUAGCGGUGAAAUGCGUAGAGAUGUGGAGGAAUACCGGUGGCGAAGGCGGCCCCCUGGACAAAGACUGACGCUCAGGUGCGAAAGCGUGGGGAGCAAACAGG
rnacentral:rRNA from 1 species